rnacentral:rRNA from 1 species
AUGGCAGCAUCGCCGCCGCGCCGCCGGGCCUCGCCGCCGGCGAUCCUGGACGAGCUAUUCGAAGAGAUCCUCCUCCGUCUCCCACCCGACGACCCCGCCUGCCUCCUCCGCGCCUCCCUCGUCUGCAAGGCCUGGAGCCACACCGUCUCCAGCCCCAGAUUCCGCCGCCGCCUCCAUGAGCUCCACCGCACACCCCCCGUGCUCGGCGUCCUCCACAACUGGGAAGACGAUGCCAUCCCGCGAUUCAUCCCCACCACCGCAUCGUCCUUCUCCCUCGCCGCUCCGGACUCUCGCUCCUGGCGGGCCCUUGACUGCCGCCACGGCCGCGCCCUCUUCCUCUCCAAGCGCCAGGACGCCGAGGAGCUCCUUGUGUGGGAGCCAAUCACGGGCACCCAGCAGCGCGUACCUGUGCCCGCGGCGUUCCACGGCGACUACCCUACGGCUGUCGUGUUGUGCGCAGUGGACGGGUGCGACCACCGCGACUGCUUCGGGGGCCCUUUUCGCGUGGUCUUGGUCUUCUGUGUCGACGAAGAAGACACUGAGCAAGAUCCGUUUCUCACGUCGGCCGCCGUGUACUCGUCGGAGACCGGCGCCUGGGGCGAGCUGACCUCGAUGCACGGCCAGUUCGUGAUGUACUUUGAAUAUUAUUGCAGCGUGGUCGUUGGGAAGUCACUGCUAUACUUCUUGUCCGACGGUCAGUUGAUCCUGGAGUAUGAUUUAGUGAGGCACGGGCUGACUGUGUUCAACACACCUGAUUGCCAACCCGAUUACAUGUCUGAUGAUGAUGGGUUGGACUACAGGUUUAACCUCAUGCUGGCGGAGAGCGGUGCACUCGGGGUUAAUGAAGAACUGGGUCAGCGUCUCAAAUUGUGGACAAAGGAGCCAAGUUACGGCACUGAUGCAGUAUGGGUACUUAGCCGGGUCAUCAACUUGAAAAUUUUGCUUCCAAAUGAUGCUCUCCUGGAUGCAACAACUUCAGUGCAAGUGUUGGGCUUUGCUGAGGAAGCAAAUGUCACUUUGGUGAUGACGGUUGCUGGCCUCUUCUCAAUCGAACUACAAUCCAAGCGGGUGAGGAAGGUGUGCGGUCAUCGUGGCUUCUGUAAUCUCAUUCCAGUUGUCAGCUUCUACACUCCGCAUUCUAGGCUCAAAGAACUCGGGGGCGAACACCAUGACCCAUAG